rnacentral:misc_RNA from 1 species
GUGAACGCCCUCACGAGCUUAUACUAUUCCAAACCUCUGUGAACCGUGCCCUUCGGGGCUAUUUUACAAACAUGGUGUAAUGAACGUCAUAUAUCAUAACAAAACA